rnacentral:lncRNA from 1 species
UCUUUCCCAGCAAAGACGUACUCCAUGUUGGGCAACCACCUUUUGUUACGUGUUGUUCGGCGUCAACGGUUCCUCUGUUUCUACUUUCUCGUGCCAGAUACUCCGUACCGUACGUACUUCAUCUUCAUGUUGGCCAGUUAUUGGUUAUUAGCUCGUCUUUCUCUGACAUUUUUUUUUCAGUUCUCUAUUUUUCGCCUUUCAAUUAGCAUUGCGUUGGGAAAGCAAAGGCGUAGAUUUACUGGUUGGCCACUCAAAUAACUGCCGAGCAUUCCCUCUUCUUUACUUUACUCGCCACUGCUUUGGACCCCAGCUACGUCUGUCGGUGUUCAGGGCUCGAUCCCUCCUCUCGGAGGGUAAGCAAAUUGUUGGAGUCAUGUUCGGAAACAAAAAAGACGACAAGGAAGAAGAGGAGUAGGAAUAGGAAUUUGAGUUUGGGGGCAUCAUUAUGUAACUGCAUGAUGUAUAAAAUUUGACCAUAAUAAUACGAAACAACCUGACACCAACUUUUCACGCAAACAUACUAG